AGCAGCCGCGGUAAUUCCAGCUCCAAUAGCGUAUAUUAAAGUUGUUGCAGUUAAAAAGCUCGUAGUUGAAUUUCGGGAUCAAUAUGUUGGUCGUGCCUCGGUACGUACUAGCAUAUUGGUUUCUCCUUUCUGAAGAACCAUGAUGUCAUUUAUUUGGUGUCGUGGGGAAUCAGGACUGUUACUUUGAAAAAUUAGAGUGUUUAAAGCAGGCUCACGCUUGAAUACAUUAGCAUGGAAUAAUGAAAUAGGACGUUUGAUUCUAUUUUGUUGGUUUCUAGGAUCGACGUAAUGAUUAAUAGGGAUAGUUGGGGGCAUUAGUAUUCAAUUGUCAGAGGUGAAAUUCUUGGAUUUAUUGAAGACUAACUACUGCGAAAGCAUUUGCCAAGGAUGUUUU
rnacentral:rRNA from 1 species